rnacentral:misc_RNA from 1 species
UGCAGGCAUCUACAACAC